rnacentral:rRNA from 2 species
AAUGAACGCUGGCGGCGUGCUUAACACAUGCAAGUCGAACGAGAAAGUCCUUCGGGGCGAGUAAAGUGGCGCACGGGUGAGUAACGCGUAGGCAAUCUACCUUCGGGACUGGGAUAACAGUGCGAAAGCGCUGCUAAUACCGGAUACGGUUUUCGGUCGGGAGGCUGAAAAUGAAAGCCGGCCACUCAGUGAAGCUGGUGCUCGAAGAUGAGCCUGCGUCCUAUCAGCUUGUUGGUAGGGUAACGGCCUACCAAGGCGACGACGGGUAGCUGGUCUGAGAGGAUGAUCAGCCACACUGGCACUGGAAUACGGGCCAGACUCCUACGGGAGGCAGCAGUGAGGAAUUUUGCGCAAUGGGAGCAAUCCUGACGCAGCAACGCCGCGUGAGUGAUGAAGGCCUUCGGGUCGUAAAGCUCUGUCAGGUGGGAAGAAUGUCCCGCAUGGGAAUACUGUGUGGGAGUGACGGUACCACCAGAGGAAGCACCGGCUAACUCCGUGCCAGCAGCCGCGGUAAUACGGAGGGUGCGAGCGUUAUUCGGAAUUACUGGGCGUAAAGCGCGUGUAGGCGGGGAGGCAAGUCUGAUGUGAAAGCCCUGGGCUUAACCCGGGAAGUGCAUUGGAAACUGCUUUUCUUGAGUUCUGGAGAGGAAGGGGGAAUUCCCGGUGUAGAGGUGAAAUUCGUAGAGAUCGGGAGGAAUACCAGUGGCGAAAGCGCCCUUCUGGACGGAUACUGACGCUGAGACGCGAAAGCGUGGGGAGCAAACA